rnacentral:rRNA from 1 species
UGCUAAAUAGCUAGCCCAAAUAACAUUUAAGUAGAAUAUAUAACUAAUCUAGUAAUACACUUAAAAUAUAAAUUAAAUCAUUUUCCCGCCCUAGUAUAGGUGACAGAAAUGGAAACAGGAGCAAUAGAACUAGUACCGCAAGGGAAAGCUGAAAAAUCCAAUGAAAAUACUUAAGCGUAGAGAAGCAAAGAUAACCCCUUGUACCUUUUGCAUCAUGAUCAAGCAAGUCAUUCCAGGCACAGAGCACUGUAGUCUGACACCCGAAACCAAGUGAGCUACUCCGAGGCACCUAGAUAGGGCUAACCCGUCUCUGUGGCAAAAGAGUGGGAUGAACGCUGAGUAGAGGUGAUAAACCUACCGAACCUGGUGAUAGCUGGUUAUCUAGAAAAUGAAUAUAAGUUCAGCCCCCGCCCCUCCCCUAGCCCCUAUAAUAGACGUAAAAUCAUUGGCUAUGGUAUUAAAGCUGGGAGUUAUUCAAGGGAGGUUCAGCUCUCUUGAAGGAGGAUACAACCUUAUUAACGGGAGGAUAAAAAUCAUUUUACUUAAGGUCACUACAGCCUUUGUAGGCCUGAAAGCAGCCACCACUCCUGAUAGCGUUAAAGCUCAAGCUGUAUCUACCCUAUUAUUCUGAUUAUAUGUUUUACUCCCCCUAACUUACUAGAUCACUCUAUUUGGAAAUAGAAGAGAUUAUGCUAGAACGAGUAAUAAGGGGUACUAUUUAACCCCUCCUUGCAUAAGUGUAACUCGGACCGGAUUCCCCACCGAAAUUUAUCCGACCUCAAACCGCAGAGGUGAUUGGGAAGUAACUUGAUUUCUAGAAAAGCCCCCACAUUAAACCGUUGACCUAACACAAGAAUGCACCAAGGAAAGACUAAAAGAGAGGGAAGGAACUCGGCAAACACUAGCCCCGCCUGUUUACCAAAAACAUCACCUCUUGCAAGAUAUUGUAUAAGAGGCCACGCCUGCCCGGUGACUAGAAGUUUAACGGCCGCGGUAUUAUGACCGUGCAAAGGUAGCGUAAUCACUUGUCUUUUAAAUGGAGACCUGUAUGAAAGGCGAGACGAGGGCAAAACUGUCUCCCUUCUCAUGUCAAUGAAACUGAUUUCCCCGUGCAGAAGCGGGGAUGCAGUCACAAGACGAGAAGACCCUGUGGAGCUUUAGACUUUAGUGAGCUUGCCCAAAGUAUAAACCCCAACUAUAUAAAAACACGGCUACCCUCCCCUAAAUGUCUUUGGUUGGGGCGACCGCGGAGAUAAACUAAACCACCGCGUGGAUAGGGGGUAACCCCUAUAAUUAAGAGCUACAGCUCUAUAUAUCAGGAUUCCUGACUUCUAAUGAUCCGGCCUGCCGAUCAACGAACCGAGUUACCCUAGGGAUAACAGCGCAAUCCUCUUUAAGAGCCCCUAUCGACAAGAGGGUUUACGACCUCGAUGUUGGAUCAGGAUAUCCUAAUGGUGUAGCCGCUAUUAAAGGUUCGUUUGUUCAACGAUUAAAAUCCUACGUGAUCUGAGUUCAGACCGGAGAGAUCCAGGUCAGUUUCUAUCUGUGAAACUAUCUUUUCUAGUACGAAAGGACCGAGAAGAUGGGGUCCAUGCUAUAGGUAUACCCUUUCCCCACCCACUGAACUUAGCUAAAGAGGCCUAAGGGGGGUGCCCAUGCGCCAGAAAGCAUGGCCU